GUCCAUAUAGCUCAGUAGGUAGAGCACUUCCUUGGUAAGGAAGAGGUCACCGGUUCAAAUCCGGUUAUGGGCU
rnacentral:tRNA from 2 species